rnacentral:rRNA from 1 species
AUGACCAUCGAGCCAACGACCUUGCAGACCAAGCCAAAUGAAGGACCAUCUCUAUUCUCAACAGAUAUAGCGUGGUGCGGUGUAAGCUCUACCAACCAUGCGAGCACGACUCCACCGACCAACCAAACCUUGGUGCCGCUGAAUAAACUCAUUCCAUCGCGUGGAUACCACUACCACCUCAACACCGCACUAAGAUAUGCAAGUGAAGGCAUACAUAAGAUGAGACUACAAUCAGGCAAAAAACCGAGUUCCCCCUCCCCGUGCAUCGACGAUGAUCAGCCGUGUAAGGAAUACAACGGAGCUUCUCGCACGAUCAUUUUGAAUGGGCGUAUUGGUGGAUCUCCCCUAAAGACCGCGACUUGCCGCCGAAACUGUGGAGUUUUGAGUUCUUUCCUGAUCGGAUUGAGGAAGAUGGGUUGGCUCUGCUGUUCGGGAAGGCUUGCGCUGGGAUCCUUGUCGUCUUCGGAUCAAGAAACCUCUGCUUGCCAUGAGGAGGAGGGGGAGGAGAAGAAGAAGCAGCAGCAGCAGCAGCAGCCGCCGAAGUUGCAAUCCGUUGGGAUGGGAAAUAAGCGGAGCAGGAAGACGGCGCCGGAGAUCGCCGGCGAAGGCGGGAAGGGUGUUAGGCCGCCGCCGCUGGCCGCCAAGGAGACAACAUUGUCUGACAAGGGGAAAUCAAAGGCAAGUGGCCCGACAUAUUAUUACUUCCUUGAUGCUUGCAAAACCUUCAGAGCAGAAUCAGGGAAGUCACCAGGGACUUCAAGUACCCCGAAAACCGCAGUUUCUCGCAUCAGGUCCUGUAUUGCUGCCAAAGAAACUAGGACAAUAGAGAUCAUGGCCUUUGAGGUUGCCAACACAAUUGGGAAGGGCUACAAUCUGAUGAAAUUCCUCUCUGAACAAAGCAUGAGGAACCUGAAGUCCGCGGUGCUUCAGUCCCAAGGCGUCCGAUGCUUGGUUUCAGAUGAUUGCAACAAGUUGCUUGCUCUUGUCGGAGCCGAAAAAAGGGAGGAGUUUAAGGAGUUUGCUACAGAUGUUGCUCGGUAUGGAAACCUAUGCAGAGAUCCGAAAUGGCACAACUUGGAUCAGCAUUUCUCGAGGUUGGAGUCUGAACCCACACAUCAGAAAUACUCUAAAGAAGCAGCAGCUUCCAGUAUGCAGUAUCUCAUGGCGCUUGCGGAGCAGACAGUGCAACUGUACCAUGGAAUGCGUCGGUUCGACAUCUCCGAGGAGAUAUACAAGAAAAAUUAUCAAGAGCACAUGGAAGGACAGGAGGACCAAUUCUGUUCAAUUCAAUCUCUUUCGAACGCUGUGGAAAUCGAAAGAAAAUUCGUCAAGGACUUGAAGAAGCAAACACUUUGGAUGAAGAAGAUGGAACAUGUUGUGGAAAAACUUGUUUGCGUUGUACAUUUCUUGCGGCUAGAGAUAAAAAAUGUCUUCAAGAAAUACGAAGAUGAAUCAGUGGAAGUGAAAGGGACGAUUCAGCUAACUUUAGGGUCUGCCGAUCUCGCGCUGCAUUAUGCGAACAUCAUUUUCAAAAUAAAGAGUUUGAGGACAGUUGAACAGCUCACAUAUGACAUGAACAAGACAAUGAAAUGGCUCUUGCCAAUGGCAGAAUCCACAAUAAGGGUGGGGCGUCGAAUGCUUGGUGAAUGGCAGGACCAAGGGGAGCCCAACGGAACAAAUGGCAGGAAGGCGCUCAAGAUUCAGACGCUAUACCAUGCCGACAAGGAGAAGACCGAACACUACAUUCUGGAGAUGGUGCUGGCUCUCCACUAUCUCGUAUGUGCGAUCAAUGCGAGGCUCGACAAGUUCUUGAACAGUACUUCUGAUCGGUCGGAGAUGCAGGAGGCGAGCAAUUCAGUUAGCACUAGCCAUAGUGGACCGGCAAGCCCCUUUCACCAUGGAAGGGAUAGCCCCCGGAUCCCCAUAUCAAUGAUAACUGUACAGGACAGUAUACAGCGUUAG